GGGGUGCUCGAGUGGCGAACGGGUGAGUAACACGUGAGUAACCUGCCCUUGACUUUGGGAUAACUUCAGGAAACUGGGGCUAAUACCGGAUAGGAGCUCCUGCCGCAUGGUGGGGGUUGGAAAGUUUCGGCGGUUGGGGAUGGACUCGCGGCUUAUCAGCUUGUUGGUGGGGUAGUGGCUUACCAAGGCUUUGACGGGUAGCCGGCCUGAGAGGGUGACCGGCCACAUUGGGACUGAGAUACGGCCCAG
rnacentral:rRNA from 1 species